rnacentral:rRNA from 1 species
GACGAACGCUGGCGGCGUGCUUAACACAUGCAAGUCGAGCGGAAAGGCCCUGCUUUUGUUGGGUGCUCGAUUGGCGAACGGGUGAGUGAAACGUGAGUAACCUCCCCUUGACUUUGUGAUAACUUCAGGAAACUGGGGCUAAUACCGGAUAUGAGCUCCUGCUGCAUGUGGGGGGUUGGAAAGAUUCGGCGGUUGGGGCUGGACUCGCGGCUUAUCAGCUUGUUGGUGGGGUAGUGGCUUACCAAGGCUUUGACGGGUAGCCGGCCUGAGAGGGUGACCGGCCACAUUGGGACUGAGAUACGGCCCAGACUCCUACGGGAGGCAGCAGUGGGGAAUAUUGCACAAUGGGCGGAAGCCUGAUGCAGCAACGCCGCGUGCGGGAUGACGGCCUUCGGGUUGUAAACCGCUUUCGCCUGUGACGAAGCGUGAGUGACGGUAAUGGGUAAAGAAGCACCGGCUAACUACGUG